AGUAUAGAUCUGAAAGCUAUAUAUUUAUAGGAAGGGGAGCUCAAGUAUAGAUCUGAAAGCUAUGUCUGGUGGGGUGUAAACACAAAGCCGUCAGAGGAGAUAUUCAGAGAAAUAGAAGCGCCCUGCCUUAAGGACUGGAGAGAGGAAAUGAAGAAACUAGAACUGUAUUCAGAGAUGAACAACAAGGAAGAGUUCAAUGAGGUUAAGUAUUGUCCUGUCUGCAGCAGAACUCUGUCCUGUCCUGAUCAGAUCUAUCAGCACAUGAGAACUGAGGAGCACAAACUAUCCGUGAGUAGACUAUGAGAAGAGUAUGCAGUAGUUCGUCAUACAAUGGUAUGAACGUAAAAGUUCUGCGACUUUGAUUCGUUAAACCAUCGGUCGCUGAAGUUAAUACGUUCAUAUCAAUGUAAAUGCAAGAUUUAAUUAUGUUCGGUGGUAUAAUUUUUUUUUGAAAAUCUCUUAAGUAUUACAUUACAUCAUUACUUGGAAUUAUUUUUUAUUCAAAUAUGUACAUUUUAAGAAAAAAUGUCUAGUUUUUCCGUUUCAUUUUUUCACAUAAAAGGCAGCAAACUUUCUAACGAAUGAAAGAUGUUUAAUUUUUUUUAUAUUGGAUAAACAUAGCUGUCUUUGAAUAUUGUAUUACUCAAUUUGUUUAUAUUUUAUUGUAAAUUGUAAUAUGUGUGAAAUAAAAUAUUUACAAUGUAAAA